rnacentral:rRNA from 1 species
UACGUAGGGGGCAAGCGUUGUCCGGAAUCAUUGGGCGUAAAGCGCGUGUAGGCUGACCGGAAAGUCGGGCGUGAAAUCCCUGGGCUCAACCCAGGAACUGCACUCGAAACUCCCGGUCUUGAGUGGUGGAGAGGGAAGUGGAAUUCCUGGUGUAGAGGUGAAAUUCGUAGAUAUCAGGAGGAACACCAGUGGCGAAGGCGGCUUCCUGGACACCAACUGACGCUGAGACGCGAAAGCGUGGGGAGCAAACAGG